UGCAGGGUGGAGCAGCGGCAGCUCGUUGGGCUCAUAACCCAAAGGUCGCAGGUUCAAAUCCUGCCCCUGCUA
rnacentral:tRNA from 1 species